GAUGAAGAACGUAGCGAAAUGCGAUACGUAAUGUGAAUUGCAGAAUUCAGUGAAUCAUCGAAUCUUUUAACGCAUAUUGCGCUCUCUGGUAUUCCGGAGAGCAUGCUUGUUUGAGUAUCAGUAAACACCUCAACUUCCAUAUCUUUUUUGAAAUGGGAGUUGGACUUGAGUGAUCCCAACGCUUUUCCUCACCGAAAAGUGGCGGGUUACUUGAAAUGCAGGUGCAGCUGGACUUUUCUCUGAGCUAUAAGCAUAUCUAUUUAGUCUGCCUAAAAAACAGAUUAUUACCUUUGCUGCAGCUAACAUAAAGGAGAUUAGUUCUUGUGCUGACUGAUGCAGGAUUCACAAAGACGGCUUCGGCCGACUUUGUAAACUCGAUCUCAAAUCAAGUAAGACUACCCGCUGAACUUAAGCAUAUCAAUAAGCGGAGGA
rnacentral:misc_RNA from 1 species